AACACAGUCUGUAAUAUUUAAAUCUUGAAAUUUAUUUUAUAGCCCAGCAUGUGAUCCAGCUUGAUGAACAUUCCAUGUGCACGUGACAAGAAUGGAUAUUCUGCUGUUGUUGGCUGUAGUGUUCUAUGUCAGCCAUCCCUGUGGGGGUGUCAGUGAUGCUUGGACUCCACUAACUGCACCAUUGUCCUACUCCAUCUCCUUUGAGCCUGCUGUCAACCUCUGCACACAUGGCCUCAGCCCCUAGCCCUGGAUGACCACCAUUAGACCCAGCAGAACGGCAGCAGUGGUUUGCUGGCCCAGCACCUAGAGCUGCAGAAUAUGCUCCCUUGACCCUCAGGGAAAGAUGCAGAGCUAGUGAGACUUACUCUCCUCCACCACCAAAGUGAAGGUGAGUUUACCCUCUCCCUCAUCCCAGGAUCCUCCCUGAAUGGGCCGGGAGCUGCUGCUGACACAUCUCAGGACCGCCAGCUUCAGCCCCGCUCCCAGUGCCUUGUUAACGGUGAGAGCACUAGCGGAAAGAAAGGCGGCACGUCAGGGCAAAAGCAGCUUCUGAGGGCGUCUCCAAGCCCAGCCCUGCCUCCUUGGCAGUGAGGUAUGCCCGCAACCUCCACUUUGCUCUUAGUACUGGGGCCAAAGUAUCCUGGGUGUAAAAUGGGGAUGAUCCUUUCCAUGCCACGGGGUCCUGAGCUCCCUGUGGCUCCAGGAUCCUGGGCUUGUGGCUGCGUCGCUCCUGCCUCUGCCUCUGUCUUCACGUGGCCUGUCCCCAUGUAUCUUUUCCUCUCCUCCUCAGGACAUUUGUCAUUGGAUUUAGGGCCCACCCAGAAUCCAGGAGGGGCUCAUCUUCAGAUCCUUAAUGACAUCUACAAAGACCCUUUAUCUAAAUAGGUCAGAUUCACAGGUCCCGGCGGUUAGGACAUGGACAUACGUUUUUGAGGGCGCCAUUCAACCCGCAACGGGAGCCAUCACAUUCUCAUUUCUCCUUCCUUAAUGUUCUCACGGGCCCAGCACACAGGCCAGGAUGGAGCAUUCUUUGAGGUGUUCCUGGGAGCCCAGCAACAGACUGGGUGUUCAGUGUGCCCCUGUCGGUCUCCACGUGGGCCCUGCAAGAAGGAGCCACCCCCGUUUUACGGGGGGUUCAGGGCUUGUGGCCAGAUGUGCAGCUAGGCCUGGAUCAGGCUCCCGUCCGGCCCCAGUGCGUCUGCCGUGCCCGUGACCCCAGGCUGUGUCUCUCAGAAUCCGCCAAGAUUCCAGGGCAGGUAACUGCAGAGCUCCCCCGAGUCCUGUGCACGCCUCGGCUCACACUGCAGCUCAGCAGCAGCAACGCGGGUGACAGAAACCAGCUCUGUGUCUGUGAGCCUCUGCCUCACCUUCUGGGGGAUGGCACAGUAUUGCUCCAAGACAUGCAAACAGCUGCGGGCAGCAGAGACAGUGAGGCAACCCUGCCACACUCUCCAACCAUGCCCUCCUCAGGCAUGCGGAGAAAGCACCCCUUCAUCUGUGCAAGGAAUCCUCAAGCAGCAGACAAAAUUCAUGCACUGUUAAUUCAGAUGUUACAGUCACAUCCAGUGCUAAGGGCUGUCCUUUGAAAACAGCUGAGGUAGACACAUCUUCCAAGAACAAAUCAUAGAAAUGUUACCAGGCGAUUGUCUUCACAACCUCUGCAUCAGUGAUGGGGACUUGGGGGUAAGCUUUUGGUUGGCGUUGUGAACAGUGCCAGCUCCCUAAAGCAAGCUUGCUUUUCUGUUGUUUGAAAUACUGCAGGAGAACUGAAAUUCUCUUAAAAUAUACCGGUUUCUGGUUCAAGAGAAAUACUUUUUUGCACCAAUUUAAUUCAGGUUUCUAAAGCCGAGGCAGGGAUGGCAUCACAGUCUGUUGAAUGAAUUCCAGCUCAUUUGGGGCCUUUCCAUGACAAAUCAUUCCUAAUGGAAUCUCUCCAAAGCACAGGGGAAAAAAUCGAAGGCAUCAAAGUGCCCUUUCCAUUUCAAUAAACUCCACUGGCCAGGAUUCUGUUUGCAUAACACAGAAUAAACAUGGAACCCAGGCCUGCCCAGCACAUUUACUCCCUGGUUAGCACCUCUGUUCACCUGUUUUCUCUUUUAUAUGAGUGACCAUUUCCUAAAACGCAAUCAAUCAAUCACUGUCAAGUAAGAUCUUGAAAUUAUCACCAUGGAGAAAAGACAUGAAGAGUCUGCAUUAAGGUAACGUGACCGGUGCCUAGAGUGAGGAAGGAGCACGUUCAGAAUGGUCCCGGGUCAUUUUCAAGACCUUCCCCCCGUCACUGUUGGAUGAAGUAAGGAGCCGGACAUCAGUGUUUAUUAAACCAGAUUUAUUCUCCACAAGCUGAAGAUACCUGAGGUUACAUGAGGACUGGCAUUAAAUAAUUUAUAAAUGUAUUUUU
rnacentral:lncRNA from 1 species